CAAGAAUGAGAGAAACAGCUGGGCACGGCAUCCCUGAGGCAGUAGUGGAGAAUUUGUCUGGGAUCGCUUCUUUCCCUGAAAACCAUCACCUGAGAUACAUGCUAUAAUCAGGCCAAGACGCAGCUGAGGAAGAGUUUGCUAAAUGUUCAGAAAUUUUGUGAAUUAGUCGUUAAACAUGUUCUCAUCUUAGGAAGUACACAUUGUUGGAGAAGCCUGCCCAGCCCCCCACCAUUUAUCCACAUGUCUACCAGCCUAGCAGAGGAGACUUCAGGAAGAGGACAGCUGAGACAAAGUCUCUGCUCCAGUGGGUUAAGUCCAUGACAACUGGCUCAAGAACAGAAACCACAUGGUGGAAGAUCCUGAUGGAGUUAAGCUGCCCCCAACAUGGUGUACGGGAAGCAGAGAGAAAACAGGGAGAAGCAGGGACAAGAAUUUGCCCUUCAGGUCACAGCCUCAGUGACCUGCCUGUCUCAGCAGGUCCCAUUCCCUAACAGCACAUUUAGCUAUCAACUUAUUAAUGGUUGAGUAUAGUGCCCCAAUGAUCUAAUCGCUAUCCCAAAGCCUAAUUUCUGACAUGAGACUUUUGGGGUACAUUUUAGACCUAAAUCAACACCAGCUAUCUGGA